UGGGGAAUAUUGCACAAUGGGCGCAAGCCUGAUGCAGCCAUGCCGCGUGUAUGAAGAAGGCCUUCGGGUUGUAAAGUACUUUCAGUCGGGAGGAAGGUGGUAAGGUUAAUAACCUUAUCAAUUGACGUUACCGACAGAAGAAGCACCGGCUAACUCCGUGCCAGCAGCCGCGGUAAUACGGAGGGUGCAAGCGUUAAUCGGAAUUACUGGGCGUAAAGCGCACGCAGGCGGUUGAUUGAGUCAGAUGUGAAAUCCCCGGGCUUAACGCGGGAAUUGCAUCUGAGACUGGUCAGCUAGAGUCUUGUAGAGGUGGGUAGAAUUCCAUGUGUAGCGGUGAAAUGCGUAGAGAUGUGGAGGAAUACCAGUGGCGAAGGCGGCACCCUGGACAAAGACUGACGCUCAGGUACGAAAGCGUGGGGAGCAAACAGG
rnacentral:rRNA from 1 species